rnacentral:rRNA from 1 species
GAUGAAUGCUGGCGGCGUGCCUAACACAUGCAAGUCGAGCGGCAGCGAGUUUUACACUGAAUUCUGGAAGCUUCUGAGUAGUACAGAAGAUUUAUUCAAGAGUUUUGUGUAAAAUGUCGGCGAGCGGCGGACGGCUGAGUAACGCGUAGGAAUUUGCCCCAAAGUGAGGAAUAACUGCCCGAAAGGGUAGCUAAUGCCGCAUAUGAUCUUCGGAUUAAAGCCUUCGGGCGCUUUGGGAGAAGCCUGCGUUGGAUUAGGUAGUUGGUAGGGUAAUGGCCUACCAAGCCGACGAUCCAUAGCUGGUCUGAGAGGAUGAUCAGCCAGACUGGAACUGAGACACGGUCCAGACUCCUACGGGAGGCAGCAGUGAGGAAUCUUCCACAAUGGGCGAAAGCCUGAUGGAGCAACGCCGCGUGAAGGAUGAAGGCCUUCGGGUUGUAAACUUCUUUUAUGAGUGAAGAAUAUGACGGUAACUCAUGAAUAAGCACCGGCUAACUACGUG